UACGGAAGGCAGCAGUGGGGAAUAUUGCACAAUGGGCGAAAGCCUGAUGCAGCUAUGCCGCGUGUAUGAAGAAGGCCUUAGGGUUGUAAAGUACUUUCAUCGAGGAGGAAAAAACAAAACUAAUAAUUUUAUUUCUUGACGUUACCCGAAAAAGAAGCACCGGCUAACUCCGUGCCAGCAGCCGCGGUAAUACGGAGGGUGCUAGCGUUAAUCAGAAUUACUGGGCGUAAAGAGCACGUAGGUGGUUUUUUAAGUCAGAUGUGAAAUCCCUGGGCUUAACCUAGGAACUGCAUUUUGAAACUGAAAUACUAGAGUAUCGUAGAGGGAGGUAGAAUUCUAGGUGUAGCGGUGAAAUGCGUAGAUAUCUGGAGGAAUACCUGUGGCGAAAGCGGCCUCCUAAACGAAUACUGACACUGAGGUGCGAAAGCGUGGGGAGCAAACAGGGAUUAGAUACC
rnacentral:rRNA from 1 species